UUGCUAGAGCUGCUGCUAAGGGGAGAGGCUUUGGUUACCUCAGCGCGGCCGCGGUUCCGGUCUCCGAGCCCCUGCAGCUCGGCGUUCGUUCGCGGGGGCUGGUGGGAUCGGAAACCUGUGCUAGACUGAAAACACGAGCCUCUCAGGCUGAGAGCAGUUUAGUGCGGCUGCGCAGGAGCGCCGGCGCGCGCGACUCUUACUGUGGCGUAGCGGGUUUCAGGAGGCGGCUCCCGGGGGUGAGGCGUUUAGGUGCGUGGCUUCCCCGCUCUCGUUGGGUGAGGUAACACAGACCUUGGAGCCAGAUUUGCUGGGUUUGUACCCCAGCCCCAACAGUUAAGCGCUCUAUGGCUUUGGGCAACUCAGGUAGCAUGAAUCUCAACAGCACAGAGAGAAAGCUUCACUGAAAACUCAUUGCAGUGGGAACAGAAAAAGAUGAAGAAGCCAGGAUUGGGGUCCAAGUUCAAAAGACGAAAGUCUGGAGCUGUCCAACUUCCUGUUUUCUUUAUUUUCCUGUCUUCAUGGUCGCACCCCCUCAACUCAGAUGGCAACGGUGCAGUCGGAGGCCUGCCCUUCUAAGCCUCCGACCCAGGCAGCAGUACGAACUGAGGUUAAAACACAGAUGCCACUAACCUGCAAACCAAAUGGCAUGAGUCAAUGACACCAGCUCCGAGACCUGUUUUGAGCCCAAGCAGUGGUCCAAGUCGCACAUAGGUCACCUUGCUUGAUCUAACAACAGAUCAACCUCGGAAAGAGGCAUUUUUGACAGAAUUUCACCCACUGAAAAAACAGCUGGCUAGUCCGUGUCUUUUCCCAGUAAUAAAUGAGAAGCAUUUAUUAUUUUAUUACACUUACCCAACCCACAGACCACCUUCUAAACGGGCUGUUUCCUGAAAGUUGCCAGUGAAUUCAAAGGCCUGCUUCUCCCACUUUCAUGUGUGGAGGAUGAUCGUGAUUUCGACAACAACUUGCCAUCUUUCUCUGAAUAUUCAUUCAACAAAUAAUUACUGUGCAUCCACUGAGUGCUAUCCCUGCCUGAGGCACUGAGGUAUGAAGUCUCUGUCCUCCUGGAGCUUGCUGUCUAGUAGGAGACAGAGGGGACAAGUAAACACAUAAGAUACGAUAUCAGGUGGUAUAUGUUCUGUGAGGAAGCAAAGAAGUGGGGUAAAGGACUAAAGAGUGGUGUAGCAGACGAGCUCAGUGCCUUGCCAGCAUCCCUGCGGCAUUCACCUGGGCACGCGGAGGCUGUUUCCCGUGAGCCCCUGAGGCCCUCUGCCUGGGGGCAGUUAUUUUUCCGGCGAUGGGAGAAUGCUUGGCCCACAAGCAGGGUAAGCAAGAAGUAUUUAUUAGAGAACAUCUUUCUCACUUUCCUCAUCUCAUAGUUACGAUAUCUCCUUUAAUCCUUUCUUUCACUAUUUCCUCCAGUUGGUUCACUUCUCAUUUCUCUGAUGGCUGUUUUUCUGAGAGUUCUGCCAUUUAAAUAAAAUGCGUCUACCACUGAUUGGGGCAGGGAAGCUGGACUGUCCACAGCCCUGCUUAGAGAGGCAGCCUCCAGGGGAAAAGCAGCAGGCUCCCUGCAGUGGCGCCCCCCUCCCCCCAAUUUUUUUAAAAGAUGGGAGACAGAUCAUUUUCUCCUGCUCCAUCGCCAUCAUCACUGUCAAGGACACCGUCUCCUGCGAACCCAUCAUGUGCUGAACUUCGGGCCAUUUGUUUGACCUUCAUCGUCUCUGACCCUCACACCAACUCUGAAAACCAAACAGUAACUAUAGCCCAGCCCAGGGAGGCAACCUUCCCUCCUACGGCAGACGAGGCGCUCCCCUCAUGCCUCUGGUUACACAGGACACACCGCAGCAGCGAUUCCCGUGGCCACAGUGCCCUCACCAUGCAUUCUGGGCCCUGCCAAGGCAGUUACUUUGAUCCUGAAUAGGAGACUCCAGAUCACAGGGGAUGUGGAGUUCUUUUUAGGCAGCUGGCAUGAGCUUAGCACAGAUGCCUCCCAGAGCAGGACUGCUUUGCUGCGUCCUGGGAGGUUCAUCAUCAAAACUUCCUGCCCUGACCCACAUUGUGACUCUCUCCAUUUGUGCUUCUGGCUGGAGCUACCAGGUUGGCAUAAUCCACGUCCAACAACCCACACCAUCGGUGAUCCCACUCCCACGUCUUUUCUCACACCACUGUUUCCUCAGAAGUCCCCUCCUUGGCUGCCUAAGUCCCUUCCUCUCUUCAGAGUCCCACCUCAAGUGAUAUCUUUGGUCUUUCUG